rnacentral:other from 1 species
GUGUCUCUGGGGUAUACGUAAGCAACCUGUUUUAUCCCUUGAGCCUUAAAUACUGUCCCGGGAACGUGACUGUUUGCAAAGUGUGCAUUACCGCUAGUCGGGAAGCCUAAUUUGCAGACGCUACUCCCACCUGAACCGAUCGGUUCAAGGUCGACGGUGUUAGCUACGGUACUUCCGGAGACAUC